rnacentral:lncRNA from 1 species
GUAUGGUCAGGCGGGAUCAUCUGCCAGCUGGAGGUCUCAGGACUGUGGAAAACCAUGUAUUCUAGCAGUAUAUUCUCUGGCCCAGCCGACCAUUACUAUCUUCAUAACGCUUAUGAAACUGUGCCUUCUCUAAGGCCAUUCACAGCUCUCGACUGGGCUAUCCUUCUUUGCCCUCUGUGCAUAAUUUCAUGCUUAUUUGAUCUCCCCAACCUCUGCACUGACCUGGCUUCUUGUGUUAUAUCCUAAACAACUUGUUCUUGGUUUCAUCCACUCAGUUCUCUGGAUCAGCCAGCUUCACACAGAAGUGACAGCACUUCUGAAAUCCCCUCUUAGUCACUUUUGUAACUUCAACCUCUGCUAAAGGUAGACACUCACUCUAUAGACCAGGCCUUGAGCUCAAAGAUCCACCUGCCUCUGCCCCCUGGCCCCCUCCACCUCCCCACGAGUGCUGGGACUAAAGGUGUGAACCACCACCACCACCACCACCACCACCCAGCUCCCUUGUUUUCUUAACAUUGAUCUAUUUAUAACUAGAGUGAGCAAAGCAGUGGUGGUGCACAACUUUAAUCCCACCACUCAGGAGGCAGAGGCAGGUGGAGCUCUGUGAUUUCGAGGCCAGCCUGGUCUACAAUAUGAGUUCCAGGACAGCCAGGGAUACACAGAGAAACCCUGCCUCAAAAAGAAAAUCAAAUAAACCCCCACAGAGUUACACCUUAUCCACUGCCCAAUGUCCUGCCAUUGGUUCCCAGACCAGAGCCUAGAGCCUGAAAUGGUCAUAUGCUCAGGCCCCAUUGCAAAGGACAGUGGGAAGGCACCUGCUUGUCUAACCUCUGGGGUGGCAAAGCUCGGGAGGGACUCCUCCUUAGGCAGCAGAGAUGCUCACUGGUGUGGGCUGUGCACACUCUGGUUUUCUUUCCUCUAAACUUGUGGGCCCCCAGGUUCAAGCUUUUAAUUUUCAGGUUUGCAUAUCUAUAAGUGCCUCCGUGUAUCUAUGUGGACCACAUGUAUGCCUGGUGCCUGUGGAAAUGAGAAGAAAGCAUUGAAUCCCCUCAAAAAGUGUUCUUAACCCCUUAGCCAUCUCUCCAGCCCCAGGUUCAAAUCCUGAGCACCGUCUGAACUAGUCCUGUGUCCAAGACAGUAUCAUCAAACCCUGCCCUUCCCGCCUUGUGCCAGCUCGCGCUUUUUCUUACAUCUGUAUGUUGAUGCUUAGCAGGUUCCUUGAAUGCUUGGUUUAUGUGCCUGGCUGGAGGAGACACCCAUGGCCUUGCAGAGGGAGCGUUCUGGUGGGAAAGCAGACACAACCCACCCUAGGCCCGUGGUUUCCCUGCAAGAAGCCCAGUGGCUUUCUGGAGGACACUUUUCCUGGAGGAAGUGACUCAAGCAUAAGCCAGGCUCUAUGGAAUGUUGGGUGAGCUGCUUGAGGAACUCCAAGGCCUGUCCCACAGUCUUCCAGCCUCCGACUCUCCGGCCCUCAGCGAGGAAGUCCCACUGGUUUUUUUGGUUGGUUUUUUUUUUUUUUUUUAAGGUUUUUUGGUUUUUUUUUUUUUUUCUCAUUCCUGUCUUGGGAGCUUUCCCCAACCAGGAGAGUGAAGAUGGGCGGAGCUGUCACACCAACUGUUAGCCUGCCUUGGCUGAGAGGAGAGGAGGCGAGGAGGGAGCGACCACCCAGCUUUAGUCGUUUUAAAACAGCUCCUGACCCUAGAAGAAGGGAAAUGGAGAUGAAGACCCAAUUGACUUGCAGACUGAUCGAACACACAGGCUUCUCAGCCCACUCCCUCCAGUCAAGGUUAAGGCCUGGCAAAGGUGGAGGAAGAGAAGCUGAGGAGAAAAAGGCGAGGAGAGCCUAGGCACAGGAAGGCUUCCCUCCCUCCCAGUGCUGAUUUCCUGUGGACCAGAUUCCAGCACAGUGGAGGGCCAGAGCUCAGGGAACAGACCCAGCAGCACAGCAAGUCUCCAAGGAAAGCUCUAGCAGUCUCCAGGGGCUGAAGGCAGGACUGGGGAAGCGGCUAGCCAGGCUGCAGAAGGCAAAUGCUCCCAGACGGCUGUCCAGCACGCAUCCGCCUUCCUAGCCAAGUUUCCUGGGCUCCUGCCACAGAUCUAAGCCUCAUCCUGACAUCCUGCCCUCUGUGCUCUGGGAUGGCCCAGGGGAGAUGCUUAGCCUUGGCUCCUUGUCUGCUGGUGGAGGGGACACACACCCUUUCUGGACCACAGACCAAAAAGAAGACCUGACGUCAUCCUGAGCACCCCCGCCAUGCAGAGUGUGUUCGCAGACUGCCAACGGGCUGGCUCCGGCCAGCAGAAGUGAACAGAGGUGGAGGUUCAGCCUGACAGCUUCUCCCCAAAGCCAUGGAGAGAAAACCUUACCACCCCCACCGCCCAGCUACUUCCAGCAAGUUGUCCAGCCUGACCCCUCUAUUUCCCCUGUUGUCUCUUAUCUGGGUCCCUGAGACCCACCCCAUCUCCAAUAAAGAACAUUGCAUACUGUGCAUCCACUACUGAACAACAUAGUCACACCAGGCAGGGCUCCCUAAAGCCUACCUGCAUGGCCAGCGUGGUCCGAGGACAGUGUGCUCUCCCCACCCUGUCUGCUAGCCUCCAGCUUCAUGGGAACUCCAUUAAUCAUGGGAUUCCGAGAUCAUCAGAGCAAUAGGAUCACUCCGUCUCCAGGGGAGCACAAGGCAAGAGCCAGAGCGGGACUGUUCUUCAGUCAAGGGGCAGGGGUUGCUGCCUCU